rnacentral:rRNA from 1 species
UGGGGAAUUUUUGGACAAUGGGCGAAAGCCUGAUCCAGCAAUGCCGCGUGUGUGAAGAAGGCCUUCGGGUUGUAAAGCACUUUUGUCCGGAAAGAAAUCCUUGGCUCUAAUACAGUCGGGGGAUGACGGUACCGGAAGAAUAAGCACCGGCUAACUACGUGCCAGCAGCCGCGGUAAUACGUAGGGUGCAAGCGUUAAUCGGAAUUACUGGGCGUAAAGCGUGCGCAGGCGGUUUGCUAAGACCGAUGUGAAAUCCCCGGGCUCAACCUGGGAACUGCAUUGGUGACUGGCAGGCUAGAGUAUGGCAGAGGGGGGUAGAAUUCCACGUGUAGCAGUGAAAUGCGUAGAGAUGUGGAGGAAUACCGAUGGCGAAGGCAGCCCCCUGGGCCAAUACUGACGCUCAUGCACGAAAGCGUGGGGAGCAAACAGGAUUAGAUACCCUGGUAGUCCACGCCCUAAACGAUGUCGCUAGUUGUUGGGGAUUCAUUUCCUUAGUAACGUAGCUAACGCGUGAAGUUGACCGCCUGGGGAGUACGGUCGCAAGAUU